rnacentral:rRNA from 1 species
AACGAACGCUGGCGGCAUGCCUAACACAUGCAAGUCGAACGAGAUCUUCGGAUCUAGUGGCGCACGGGUGCGUAACGCGUGGGAAUCUGCCCUUGGGUGCGGAAUAACUUCUCGAAAGGGAUGCUAAUACCGCAUAAUGUCGUAAGACCAAAGAUUUAUCGCCCAAGGAUGAGCCCGCGUAGGAUUAGCUAGUUGGUGGGGUAAAAGCCUACCAAGGCGACGAUCCUUAGCUGGUCUGAGAGGAUGAUCAGCCACACUGGGACUGAGACACGGCCCAGACUCCUACGGGAGGCAGCAGUGGGGAAUAUUGGACGAUGGGCGAAAGCCUGAUCCAGCAAUGCCGCGUGAGUGAUGAAGGCCCUAGGGUUGUAAAGCUCUUUUACCCGGGAUGAUAAUGACAGUACCGGGAGAAUAAGCUCCGGCUAACUCCGUGCCAGCAGCCGCAGUAAUAC